UUGUCUGGUGUCGUUGAAUCUUUGUCCGAUUCCAUAGUGACCACUGGAACAGCUACACACACGUAUGCAUUCCUCUGUAUAGUCUUGUCUUAGUGUCACCGCUGCUUUGACUGGAGACUGGGACGCUUGCUAGCAGCUCUUCUGUGCUCAUGUUUACCUGAU